GGAAGUCUGACUUGCCUUUCAUGUCAGAAGAUGACUUCAUCUUCUGGAAACAACACCCUCUGUGGUACCUCAGUGGGAUCGUUAGUGCUAUGAAGACUGAAGCCCAUGUGAACAUUUGAGUACAGAUCUUUCAACAGACCUAUGUUUGCAUUUCCUUAGAAUAAGUACUCAGAAGUGGGAAUGCUGGACCAGCGGUAAAGGUAAGUGAAGUUUGCUGAAAUGCAGAACCAAGAUGGCGUAGAAAGACCCUGAGCUCAUCUCCUCUCAUGGGCACACCAAAACCACAACUAUCUGCAAAACAACCGCUGAUGAAAAAGACUGAAACCUACCAGAAAAGAUCUUCUACAACUAAAGACAUAAAGAAGGAACUGCAAUGAGAUGGGGGGGCACUCGCGAUAUAAUCAAAUCAAGUCCCAUACUUCC